rnacentral:pre_miRNA from 2 species
UCUAAUGAAUAAGCAAAGAAAGUGGUUUCUUGAGAUGGAAUCUACUUUUGGUGAAGAUGCUGUAAA